CCCGGCGACCGGCGCACGGGUGAGUAACACGUAUGAAACCUGCCCGUAGCAGGGGGAUAAGCGGAAGAAAUUCCGUCUAAUACCGCGUAACAACCCGAGGAGGCAUCUCCUCGGGUUUAAAGGAAGCGAUUCCGGCUACGGAUGGUCAUGCGUCGCAUUAGCUAGUUGGCGGGGUAACAGCCCACCAAGGCGACGAUGCGUAGGGGUUCUGAGAGGAAGGUCCCCCACACUGGUACUGAGACACGGACCAGACUCCUACGGAAGGCAGCAG
rnacentral:rRNA from 1 species